UACCGUCCGCAAGCUUAAAACUCCAAAAUGAAUGGACGGGGGGCCCGCACCAAGCCGCUGCGAGCCAUGCUGAUUUAAUUCGACGCAACGCGAAGACCCUUACAUGGCCUGGACAUCCAGAGAACUUUCCAGAGACAGAUCGUCUUCUUCGAAAACUCUGAGCCAGGUGCUGCAUGUCGUUCUUCAGUUCGUUUCGUGAGAGGUUGGGUUAAUUCCCCUAACGAGCCCAACCUCUAUCCAUGGUUGCUAGCAGGUAAGGUUGAGAAUUCCAGGGAGCCUCCCGGUUCCAAUCCGAAGGAAGGUGGGGAGGCGUUCAGUUCUUCAUGCCCUUUUCUGCCAGGGCUCCACCCGUGUUCCAAUGGUGCGUACAGAGGGGUGCCAACUCGGGAGAGUGAGCCAAUCCCUUAAAACAGUUUCUAGUCCGGAUGUGAGUCUGCAACUCGACUCCGAAAGUCGGAAUCGUAUAGUAAUCGCGAAUCAGAAUGUCGCGGUGAAUACGUCCCGGGCCUUGUACACACCGCCC
rnacentral:rRNA from 1 species